GGGUUAAAAGGAAAGUUGGGAUAUUAUAAGAAAAUAACAACACACACAAACACACAUUCGUGUGUGUUCUACGUCGAUCAGAAGCUCCCAAAGGAGCCAAACCCUAGCUCAAGCUUAUUUGCUCAAAUUGAAAGGGGAAUUCAACCCAAAUCUAAUGCAUGUACCCGAAUUCUUAGUCAUCUAGCCCUAAAGAUCACUUGAAUAGGAACCACACUAGCAUGGACCAAGCAUGGAAGGCUAACGGGUCAAGAUGAGGCAAGCAAGCGGGUAUGAACACGGAUGCACAAGGUAUUACACGAAUUUCUUCUGCUGCUAAGGAAGUGAAGCGGACGUAGAUCGAAUCAAGAGCAAGGAUUGUACGGAUAGAACGACCACAUAGUUUGAAAUACGUAAUGCUUUGAAACGUUAAUUUAAUGUAAAUAUUGUAAACCUCCUCCAGUAAGCGCUUAACAUUUUCGUAUUUGAGCUUUUAUGUGAGUAAUGUGUCUAAUAAAGAAAGAAAUUUCAAGGCUCGUAUUUCCGCUGCGUCAUUUUAAAGCUAUUACGUGUUAGGGUGUAACAAGUUGGUAUCAGAGCCUUGGUUUGAGGGAAUCAAGUAACAGGAGGUAAAUACUUGAACUCAAACCGGUGUGCUCUCGUGACCAAGAACCCGUGCAAUCCAAGACUCGAUCGAGGCCUAAAGGCAAAAGCGAAUGUAAGUAUGUAUUAGAUUAUGUAUUUGAAGGAAAUUAAUAGUAUGUUUUGUGAAGGGUAAGCGCAAUUGUUGAAAGAGAUGAUCCGUGAAUGCGGUCUAGGACCUGCAUCGAGGCAAGUAAUGAAACGAAUUGACCCCAGGUACGUAAACCUAACGUAUGGGCGUAUGAAAUGGUAUGGUUAAGCAAGUGAAAGAAAAAUUUUGAACAAAUUAUGAUAACGACUUGGUAAAUAAGUUUUGAAAAUGUUACACGAGCCGAAACUAAAUUCUUCGGACGUAAGGUGGCGAUUACGCGAAGACACGAAACUAGUACGUGGAAUGUGUACCUGGCCAGUACACAAGAAACGUAUGACGUUCGUGAGACCGUGAUAAUUAUUACAGGUAUGUCCGAUAGAGUUUGGUAGCUGCUAGGCGUAUGGGUGAAAUGGGUAGUAAGACUCUCGGGGGAUUGAGAGUACCUUGUAGGAAUGAAAGAUGUGAAUGCAAUGCUUGAAUCCGCGAGACGGAUUCAAGGAAUGAAAUGUGCGAAUGCGAUGCUUGAAUCCGCGAGACAGAUUCAAGAUGCGAAUGCGAUGCUUGAAUCCGCGAGACGGAUUCAAGGAAUGAAAUGUGCGAAUGCGAUGCUUGAAUCCGCGAGACGGAUUCAAGGAAUGAAAUGUGCGAAUGCGAUGCUUGAAUUCGCGAGACGGAUUCAAGGAAUGAAAUAUGCGAAUGCGAUGCUUGAAUCCGCGAGACAGAUUCAAGGAAUGAAAUAUGCGAAUGCAAUGCUUGAAUCCGCGAGACGAAUUCAAGGAAUGAAAGGCAUGAACGAAAUGAUUGAAUCCGCGAGACGGCUUCAAAGAAUGAAAGAGGUGAAUGCAAUAUUUGAAUUCGUGAGACGGAUUCAGAACAUGAAAGAUACGAAAGGUAUGAGUAAGGUGUUCGAAUCCGCGAAACGGAUUUAAGGUAUAAACGACUAAAGCUAGUCUACUUGAGCAGAAGUCAAUAGCCUGACCAUAAUUAUGUCACACAAGUCAUAUAAGUAAACGUAAAGCAAAUGAACAAAAGUAUGAUAGGAGUGAAAAUAUCCGAAGGUGUAAGUACUUACGAACCAGACAAGUAAAUGUUUCUUAAGUGAUGUGAUUCAAACUAUGCUUAAAUUUUCAUAUAUAUUUAUAUAUAUAUGAAUGUACUUAUGCGAAUGCGUUGUAUGCGAGAAGGUCGAAGGGAUAAACGGGUCAUGCAGGUCAGAUGGCGGUUGCCAUUUGGGCUCGUUAGUUAAUGUUUUGAUAUGAUAAAUUUCGUACUCAUAGGUGAGCUUGAUGAAUGGACACGCAAUGUCACUAAUCGGAAAGGAAUGAUCUUCGUAAGGUAUGGAUAACAAAUCAAUGGAAUCUACUUUCGAGAGGUAUGUAUAAAAAGAAUUAUAACUCAAAUAGGAGGUUAUGACUCGACUAGAGACUGAUGUAUUAGAAUAUAUAUAUAUAUAUAUAUAUAUAUACAAACCGUAAUGCAAAAAUGUAGAAUGAAUUUCAAAAUGUUCGUAAUGAUCGUCGGGUAGUAUUGAACUUGAAUGCUCGUAACUGUGGAAAUUCUGAUAGAAUAUAAGAGACGACAAAUAUUGUCAAGAAAUGCUAACUUUGAUGCUAGGCUUGUUGGCCAUGUUCAUUUGAACAAAACAUUGUAGAAAAGAUACGCAUGGCAUAAAUAACAAUAGUAACCUUGGAAACGAUGCUUAGUCUUCGUGAUAAGUACAGAUAAGUAGGUUUGAGAAGGGUGAUUUUGGUUGUAAUAAUAAGUCUUUGAAUGAAUAUAGUAUGCGUAUGAUAAUAUAUCGACCUCUCCUAAGAGCUUUAAGGUAAUCAGAAGUAAUGAUAGUAAUGUAAUGUUUAGGAUGGCUCAUAGUGAACAAAAUGAAAGAUUGUACAUGAUGUAUGAGUAGAAUGAAAUAAAUCGACUUAUUUCGAUGAAUGAAUGUAAUAUGCUUAAAUAGGAAGCUAGAAACAAGCCGCAAACCUAAGUCUAUACGAGUAAUAAUUGUAUACAAUUCGAAUAAAAUUCGAUGAAUGAAACACUAGUCAUGAUAUGUGCUAAGUACUGGUGUUAUAAAGUAAGAGGCACUAAUAAGAGCUCUGGAGCAGAAUCUAACAUAAGUAUUGUGAAUGAAUAACUUGAAAGGGUUAAGAGUAGAUUUGGUUUGGUUUGGUUUGAAUGAGAAAGGUUUCGGGGACGAAACCUCAUUUAAGGAGGGUAGACUUGUAACGCCCCAAAACUCGAGUCUAAAUAUUUUAUUUUGACAUUUUAUUAGGUUGGCAUGAGUAAGUAGGAUUUAUUGGUCAAGUGGGUUAUUUCACUAACAACCAAGUUAUCUAACUUGGUUAGAUAGUGUUGGCUAUAGAUUGAGAGUGGAAAACAAUGGGGCCAACUAUGUUUAAUUUACAAUCAUAAGGGACUAAUGUGGGUUAAAAGGAAAGUUGGGAUAUUAUAAGAAAAUAACAACACACACAAACACACAUUCGUGUGUGUUCUACGUCGAUCAGAAGCUCCCAAAGGAGCCAAACCCUAGCUCAAGCUUAUUUGCUCAAAUUGAAAGGGGAAUUCAACCCAAAUCUAAUGCAUGUACCCGAAUUCUUAGUCAUCUAGCCCUAAAGAUCACUUGGUAAGUUGUAAUUUUUGAUUUGGUGAUUUUGAUAUGAAGUGGGUUUUGAUCAACCCGCGAAUUAGUAUGAAAUUGAGCAUGAGAAUGUAUUAAUAUCAUGAUAUAGAGCAUAGAUUACACGUGGUUUAGGUUAAUUAGAUGAUUAGAGAUGAAACCCACUUGUGGUAGUGAAGAUGAUGUUAUGGAUAAUCAUGUAUGCUUAAUUGUUGUGUAAAGUUUAUGUAUGAUGUUGUAUGUAAUGAGUAAUUGUUAGUUAAUUAGGGUAUAUUAUGAGAAUUAUAUGAUUCUAGUGGAAUUUGAUGAUCUUGAUAUGAACUAGUAAGAAUAUGCAAUGAAUGCUUGUACAUAAUGUUUUGUUAGUAGUACACCCGCCAAGUGUUCGAUGAAAUGCCUAAGAGAGCAAAAUUGUGAAAUUGUAUGAAAGUUGUGGGUAAGUAUGUAUAGAAGGUGCUUAUGGUGUAGCCGUUAGCAAAAUAAUAAGUUAAGUGUGCUUAAGGUGGAGUCCGUAUGAGAAUUCGGAUUUGAAUGUAUGGUUUGGUAAAAUUAUGCAUUAAGAACUUGUACCUUAUGCUUCAAUGGUGUGAUGCUCGCCAUGUAAUUGAUGCGCUUGAUUCAUGGUAGUUAAGAGUGAAUGUGUACGAAUGUGAAAUGGAUAGUUUAUUGAUAAGUGAUAAUGUUGGAGUUAUGUCGUGUACGUAUGUAAGAUGAUAAUUUUGACUAAGUGAAUGUUGAACAAUGCGGUUGUCGAAUGUAGAGUUAUGAAAGCAUAAGUAUGUGUAUAUUGUGUAUGUGACUAGGUGAUCAUGUAGUUGUAUGUGUUAUACAACAUUAUGUAUGAAAUUAAUAUGAUGUCAUUAAUAUGGUCUAUUAUAUCAACAUAAAUGCGUGUUCGAAAUUGGAAGUUAUAUGCUAGAAGGUUGACUUUCUGAAAGUCAACAGAGAAUCUAUAGCAUGGUUAGGCAUUUUGACAUAAAUAUAAGAAUCGAGAGAUCAUGGAAUAUGUGUUAGAUCAAUUAUGUGUUAUGUGUGAUAACGAAUUUGGAUUUCAAGGAUAUUGAAACUAUGUGGUUGACCAAUCAUGUCAUAUGCGUGUUAGUGAAAGUCAAUGUAGAUAAGAGUUGGAAAAUGUGUGUUAAUAUGAAUGAGCAUGAAUACUAACAUUAUUAUGGCAUGACGGCAUGAAAGAAUAGGAACCACACUAGCAUGGACCAAGCAUGGAAGGCUAACGGGUCAAGAUGAGGCAAGCAAGCGGGUAUGAACACGGAUGCACAAAGUACUACACGGAUUUCUUCUGCUGCUAAGGAAGUGAAGCGGACAUAGAUCGAGUCAAGAGCAAGGAUUGUACGGAUAGAACGGCCACAUAGUUUGAAAUACGUAAUGCUUUGAAACGUUAAUUUAAUGUAAAUAUUGUAAACCUCUUCCAGUAAGCGCUUAACAUUUUCGUAUUUGAGCUUUUAUGUAAGUAAUGUGUCUAAUAAAGAAAGUAAUUUCAAGGCUCGUAUUUCCGCUGCGUCAUUUUAAAGCUAUUACGUGU